rnacentral:misc_RNA from 1 species
UCCGGUUUAACACCGGCAGUCUCUCUAGAGUUCCCAGCUUGACCUGAUGGCAACUAGAGACAAGGGUUUCGCUCGUUAAGGGACUUAACCCGACAUCUCGCGACACGAGCUGACGACAGCCAUGCAACACCUUUAUGCGUUCCACCGGUUAAGGCGUCGCUCUACUUUCAUAGAGUUAAUCCGCACACUUCGAGCCCGGGUAAGGUUCUUCGCGUUGCAUCGAAUUAAGCAACAUGCUCCACUGCUUGUGUGAGCCCCCGUCAAUUCCUUUGAGUUUCAGCCUUGCGACCAUACUCCCCAGGCGGGAUACUUAACGCUUUUGCUCCGGCAAGGAUCCCCUUGCAGGGACCCCUACUUAGUAUCCAUCGUUUAGGGCGUGGACUAC